rnacentral:rRNA from 1 species
AUUGAACGCUGGCGGCAGGCCUAACACAUGCAAGUCGAGCGGAUGAAGGGAGCUUGCUCGUGGAUUCAGCGGCGGACGGGUGAGUAAUGCCUAGGAAUCUGCCUGGUCGUGGGGGAUAACGUCCGGAAACGGGCGCUAAUACCGCAUACGUCCUGAGGGAGAAAGUGGGGGAUCUUCGGACCUCACGCUAUCAGAUGAGCCUAGGUCGGAUUAGCUAGUUGGUGGGGUAAAGGCCUACCAAGGCGACGAUCCGUAACUGGUCUGAGAGGAUGAUCAGUCACACUGGAACUGAGACACGGUCCAGACGCCUACGGGAAGCAGCAGUGGGGAAUAGUGGACAAUGGGCGAAAGCCUGAUCCAGCCGGGCCGCGUGUGUGAAGAAGGUCUUCGGAUUGUAAAGCACUUUAAGUUGGGAGGAAGGGCAGUAAGUUAAUACCUUGCUGUUUUGACGUUACCAACAGAAUAAGCACCGGCUAACUUCGUG